ensembl:misc_RNA Metazoa_SRP Metazoan signal recognition particle RNA
GCCGGGCGUGGUGGCACGCGCCUGUAGUCCCAGCUACUCGGGAGGCUGAGGUGGGAGGAUCGCUUGAGUCCAGGAGUUCUGGGCUGCAGUGCGCUAUGCCGAUCGAGUGUCCGCACUAAGUUCGGCAUCAAUAUGGUGACCUCCCGGGAGCGGGGGACCACGAGGUUGCCUAAGGAAGGGUGAACCGGCCCAGGUCGGAAACGGAGCAGGUCAAAACUCCCGUGCUGAUCAGUAGUGGGAUCGCGCCUGUGAAUAGCCACUGUACUCCAGCCUGGGCAACAUUGUGAGACCUUGUCUCUU